rnacentral:rRNA from 1 species
UACAGAGGAUGCAAGCGUUAUCCGGAAUCAUUGGGUUUAAAGGGUCCGUAGGCGGCCCAGUAAGUCAGUGGUGAAAUCUCACGGCUCAACCGUGAAAUUGCCAUUGAUACUGCCGGGCUUGAAUUAUUGGGAAGCAACUAGAAUAUGUAGUGUAGCGGUGAAAUGCUUAGAUAUUACAUGGAAUACCGAUUGCGAAGGCAGGUUGCUACCAAUGGAUUGACGCUGAUGGACGAAAGCGUGGGGAGCGAACAGG